UACGGGGGGGGCAAGCGUUGUUCGGAAUUACUGGGCGUAAAGGGCGCGUAGGCGGCCUGCUAAGUCACACGUGAAAUCCCUCGGCUCAACCGGGGAACUGCGUGUGAUACUGGCGGGCUUGAAUUCGGGAGAGGGAUGCGGAAUUCCAGGUGUAGCGGUGAAAUGCGUAGAUAUCUGGAGGAACACCGGUGGCGAAGGCGGCAUCCUGGACCAACACUGACGCUGAGGAGCGAAAGCCAGGGGAGCAAACGGG
rnacentral:rRNA from 1 species